rnacentral:rRNA from 1 species
UACAGAGGUCCCAAGCGUUGUUCGGAUUCACUGGGCGUAAAGGGUGCGUAGGCGGCGCGGAUAGUCGGCGGUGAAAGCCCGGAGCUCAACUCCGGGUCGGCCGUCGAUACUUCCGGGCUUGAGCACUGUAGAGGCAGAUGGAAUUCCGGGUGUAGCGGUGGAAUGCGUAGAGAUCCGGAAGAACACCGGUGGCGAAGGCGGUCUGCUGGGCAGUUGCUGACGCUGAGGAGCGAAAGUGUGGGGAGCGAACAGG